rnacentral:misc_RNA from 1 species
AAAGUUGUAACAAGGUUUCCAUAGGUGAACCUGCGGAAGGAUUAUUACCACAAUUAUUAGGCGUUGCAAAAAAUCCUCCCUUCGGGGGGUUACGUUACUAACACCCUUUGACUACUGUACCGCUCGUUAUUUCCUUAGCAGGCUCGCCUGCCGCUAGGAAUCCUACACCCUUGCAUUUAAGUAUGAAAAACCUCUGAUACCAACCUAAAUAUUACAA